rnacentral:rRNA from 1 species
CCUGGUCAUUUAGAGGAAGUAAAAGUCGUAACAAGGUUUCCGUAGGUGAACCUGCGGAAGGAUCAUUAACCUUUCAAAACAGGGUGCGUCGCGGCCCCCGAGGUGCGGAAACAAGCCUCGAGCGGUUUGGGGUCCUCCCCUUCACGCGCGCACGACUGCCAUCCUUACUUUACGAGCACCUUCUGUUCUCCCUCGGCGGGGCAACCUGCCGUUGGAACCGAAUAAACUCUUUUUGCAUCUAGCAUUACCUGUUCCGAAACAAACAAUCGUUACAACUUUCAACAAUGGAUCUCUUGGCUCUGGCAUCGAUGAAGAACGCAGCGAAAUGCGAUAAGUAGUGUGAAUUGCAGAAUUCAGUGAAUCAUCGAAUCUUUGAACGCACAUUGCGCCCCUCGGUAUUCCGUGGGGCAUGCCUGUUCGAGCGUCAUCUACACCCUCAAGCUCUGCUUGGUGUUGGGCGUCUGUCCCGCCUCCGCGCGUGGACUCGCCCCAAAUUCAUUGGCAGCGGUCCUUGCCUCCUCUCGCGCAGCACAUUGCGCUUCUUGAGGGGCUCCGGUUCGCGUCCAACAAGCACAUUUACCGUCUUUGACCUCGGAUCACGUAGGGAUACCCGCUGAACUUAAGCAUAUCAAUAAGCGGAGGA